rnacentral:rRNA from 1 species
GAUCCUGGCUCAGGAUGAACGCUAGCUACAGGCUUAACACAUGCAAGUCGAGGGGCAGCAUGAACUUAGCUUGCUAAGGCCGAUGGCGACCGGCGCACGGGUGAGUAACGCGUAUCCAACCUGCCUUACACUCUUGGACAGCCUUCUGAAAGGGAGAUUAAUACAAGAUGUUAUCAUGGGUAAGCAUUUUCGCAUGAUUAAAGGUUUACCGGUGUAAGAUGGGGAUGCGUUCCA